UCCUACGGGACGCAGCAGUGAGGAAUAUUGGUCAAUGGGCGGGAGCCUGAACCAGCCAAGUCGCGUGAGGGAAGACGGUCCUAUGGAUUGUAAACCUCUUUAGGCGGGGAGCAAUGCCGGGCACGCGUGCCCGGAGGGAGAGUACCCGCAGAAUAAGCAUCGGCUAACUCCGUGCCAGCAGCCGCGGUAAUACGGAGGAUGCGAGCGUUAUCCGGAUUUAUUGGGUUUAAAGGGUGCGUAGGCGGAACAUUAAGUCAGCGGUAAAAUCGAGGGGCUCAACCCCUUUAAGCCGUUGAAACUGGUGA
rnacentral:rRNA from 1 species